GUCUACGGCCAUACCACCCUGAACGCGCCCGAUCUCGUCUGAUCUCGGAAGCUAAGCAGGGUCGGGCCUGGUUAGUACUUGGAUGGGAGACAAACACAAAGGACAAUGACAGAUAAUUGUGUACA
rnacentral:rRNA from 1 species